UACGUAGGGACCGAGCGUUGUUCGGAAUCAUUGGGCGUAAAGAGCGUGUAGGCGGCUAUUUAAGUCCUGCGUGAAAUCCUGCGGCUCAACCGCAGACGGUCGUGGGAAACUGGAUGGCUAGAGUGCGGGAGAGGAGAGUGGAAUUCCCGGUGUAGCGGUGAAAUGCGCAGAUAUCGGGAAGAACACCCGUGGCGAAGGCGGCUCUCUGGAACGCAACUGACGCUGAGACGCGAAAGCGUGGGGAGCAAACAGG
rnacentral:rRNA from 1 species